rnacentral:rRNA from 1 species
GCGAUAGGCUUAACACAUGCAAGUCGAGGGGCAGCAAGUCUUCGGAUGUUGGCGACCGGCGCACGGGUGAGUAACACGUAUGCAACCUACCCAUUACUUGGGGAUAGCCCGCUGAAAGGCGGAUUAAUACCCGAUGACACAGGGAUGCCGCAUGGCAAUAUUUGUUAAAGAUUCAUUGGUAAUGGAUGGGCCUGCGUUGGAUUAGUUAGUUGGUAAGGUAACGGCUUACCAAGGCGUCGAUCCAUAGGGGAACUGAGGGGUUUAUCCCCCACACUGGUACUGAGACACGGACCAGACUCCUACGGGAGGCAGCAGUGAGGAAUAUUGGUCAAUGGGCGCGAGCCUGAACCAGCCAAAUCGCGUGAAGGAUGACGGUAUUAUGUAUUGUAAACUUCUUUUGUAAGGGAAUAAAGUGAAGGACGUGUCCUUUUUUGUAUGUACCUUACGAAUAAGCAUCGGCUAACUCCGUGCCAGCAGCCGCGGUAAUACGGAGGAUGCGAGCGUUAUCCGGAUUUAUUGGGUUUAAAGGGUGCGUAGGUGGGCCGGUCAGUCAGUGGUGAAAUCUCGGAGCUUAACUUCGAAACUGCCAUUGAAACUUCCGGUCUUGAGUGUGAACGAGGUAGGCGGAAUUCGUAGUGUAGCGGUGAAAUGCAUAGAUAUACGAAGAACUCCGAUAGCGUAGGCUGCUUACCAGGCUACAACUG